rnacentral:tRNA from 1 species
UAGCUCAGCUUGGUAGAGCAAGCGGCUCAUAAUCGCUGUGUCGUGGGUUCAAAUCCCG